UAUUUUAGGAAUUACACCCAUUUGCAAUUAAUAAAAACUAAAGGUCUAUUUAAUAAAAGUCCCAUUAAAUGUAUCAUAAUCCCUAACCCAAGCAGGGGCGUGGGUUUUCCUCUUCUCCCUCCGGUUCACGAGCGGUUCAGUGUCGUUAAACUGUGGCGAGCCGUCGUCGUCUUCUCCAACUUCUGAAAUUAGGUCAUCUUCUAAAGUCACUAUAUCUUUAAUUUUCUGGGCGUCCUCGUAUAUGUCUUUGUAGUAGAUCACCCUCGUAUCAGGGUAUAAUUAAAAGGUUUAGAUAACACACCACUAGGCAUUCUGAAAUAGUUUUUAGGAAAAAAAUUAAGAACAACAGACUCUCAUUUAGUGUCACAAGAAAAAUUAUUAUCGAUCACCUUUUGAAGAUGUUUUCUGGUGGUUCGUGACGAAGACUGAUCAGGUGAGUGCAAGAAUGUUACGCGGUGAUAGAUGUGCUGUGAGUAGAGCUAGAUUAGAACGUUAGUGAAAGAUCAAAAUAACACAAGAGAUGUUGAGAACCUGAAUAUUAGGGUUUUCAAAGUUUAACGUAUGUAUUGUAACAGAGACCCAUGCAAAAAGGAGAUAAGAGGCAGCAUAAUAACGUAAAAAUUAAUUAAGAUUUUACAGAUCAGUCAGUACAAGUAUUUAUACUAAGAAAUAAAUUAGAAAGAAUGCCUUGGAUCCUUCUUGGGUUGUCACAUAGUGGGUCUUCAACUGUGGUCUAUUUAACAUUUGCAAAUACUUUUAUAUCCCUAAAUUGCUUUGCAAAAUAACAUAUAUUAUAAAGUUUAUCAGAAUUGUUAGAUUUAAGGGAAGAGAGUUUUCAAAAUACGCUCCUCCCUAGAGAAGGAUGUGUGCCCCAACCUAUAGUGUCAUGAUGUUAAUGAAAUGACAUGCAAAGUGACUUCUAUUGGGGCUAUGUUUGAUUAGGUACAAUAUCUCCACCAUGUCGACUAGACCAAGAGUCUUUAUCAGAAAUUACAAUACAAUUUUUAGUAAAAUGCACAAUAAUAUUAUCAUUUUAGGUGAGUCUACUUAUAAAUAGUAGAUUGACCUGAAAUGUGGACAAGUAGUAUACCCUUUUAAAGGUGGUGUCAGGAGAUAUGACAAUGUCACUUUUUAUAGGAGACCAUCUGACUCGACCCAUUUAGAAGGAGAAUUAGUAUUCCCUUACAUUUAGUCAUUGACGGGAAUAGGGAAGCAUUCUCACUAAUAUGCCCAGAAACAUCUGAGACAACAAUCCAAAAGGAUUUGUAAUCAUUAUAAUGUAAAAUAGAAUUACAGUACCUGAUUGACUAUAAAGGAUGGGGUCGUUAUAAGUUAUAUCUUCCUUGGUUAGGAUUUGUACUUGUCAGAGUAUAAGGGAAAACCAUGAACACCAAUUGGGUUGUCCUGGUUUUCCUCCUCAAAUUCAACUUCAACAACUUAUUUUCCUUUGAAAUUGGCCCAACCAUGUGAUACACCAUGUUUUUUUAUAGUAGUAGUGUUCUUGUUUGUUGACUCAGACGAUGCAACAACUUAUGAAGUUCCAACAUGUUUGUUAUAUUUUUGCCCUUGAGGAAGACCAUGCUGACCAUAACACUUUUCAUCACUGUACCCAAAGGCAACACGGUGGAAGUAAUAUAUAGUAGUUCACAUUAACUUUCCUUCGAUUCUUAUAAAUUAAAGAGUAGCUCGAUCGAGAUUGGUCUUUUCCUUGAGUUUAAUUUACAGUUGAUGAGGAGAUAAUUGCAACAACUUUCUUGAUGUUAGGUGCUUCCAGAGGACUUGUAGUAGAGUGAUUUGGACAAUUGGAUGAGUAGAAAGUUGUCUCAGAUGACACAGAGUGGGUAUCCAACAUAGUGGAAAUUCAUAAAGGAUUUAGUGAUUAUAUUCAUACAUAACAACUACAAGAAGGGAUACAGACCUUCAACCGAGUAGCAAGCAGUCACAAAUUGGAAUGGCAACACGAUUUUGGUCCUCUUUUCUUUCUCAACUGUGUUUCCUGAAAACAUCAACCUCUCCUCUACCUAUGAGAAACCCUAGAUCGAUGUGUAGGAAAAAGAAACCCAUCUCACCCUAUCCUCUCUUGAGGGGGGAGAUAACGAUUUCUUCUCCUCUUUCUCCCCCUGAUUUCUUCACUGCACCUUCCUCUCUCGUUGUCCCCCCCUUUUUCUUUCUUUUCUCACAUGCUCCUCUCCUUGCAAGAUCUGUCGUUCCCGAUGUUGUUGUCGCCGACGCUGUCCAUUUUCCCACUCGGAUCUCAACUCCUUCUUCCUCUCAUCGUAGUGGAAUUCCCACCCACGAACACAAUGCGUAAUUGUUGGAGAGAAAGGCCGAGUUAUAGACCGGAGUUCUUGAGGAAGACGAAUCUGAGUAGAGAGGUCGUCUCUCGCGGUGUGCUGCUGGUAACUUUCUACAUCAAGCACAAGUGGACAAGUGAGAAAGGCGUGAUAACGCUAUGGGAAAGGGUCGCAGCUGAGGGUAUUGUUACACCCCAAUUGUCUGGGAAUAUAUAAUAUUACCCAACCAAGUGAGGCUCAACAUGUAAUAGCGUAAAAUCAUGGGCUGCAUAAUCA
rnacentral:lncRNA from 1 species